rnacentral:rRNA from 1 species
AGAGUUUGAUCCUGGCUCAGGACGAACGUGGCGGUGCGCUUUAUACAUGCAAGUCGUGCGCGAAAGGUCCCUUCGGGGACCGAGUAGAGCGGCGAACGGGUGCGUAACACGUGAGCAAUCUGCCCUGGAGUGGGGAAUAACCCCGAGAAAUCGGGGCUAAUACCGCAUGUCGCCGAGGGACCGCAUGAUCCCGCGGUGAAAGUCGGCCUCUGCUUGCAAGCUGGCGCUCCAGGAUGAGCUCGCGGCCUAUUAGCUAGUUGGUGAGGUAACGGCCCACCAAGGCUACGAUGGGUAGGGGGCGUGAGAGCGUGGCCCCCCACAUUGGGACUGAGAUACGGCCCAGACUCCUACGGGAGGCAGCAGUAGGGAAUCUUGCGCAAUGGGCGAAAGCCUGACGCAGCGACACCGCGUGAGGGAUGAAGGCCUUCGGGUUGUAAACCUCUGUCAGGGGGAAAGAAACUCCAGCUGGUGAAUAGUCGGCUGGACUGACGGUACCUCCAAAGGAAGCGCCGGCUAACUCCGUGCCAGCAGCCGCGGUAAGACGGAGGGCGCAAACGUUGUUCGGAAUCACUGGGCGUAAAGGGCGCGUAGGCGGGAUGCUAAGUCCGAGGUGAAAGCCCGGAGCUCAACUCCGGGAUUGCCUUGGAAACUGACAUCCUAGAGUGCAGGAGAGGAAGGCGGAAUUCCGGGUGUAGCGGUGGAAUGCGUAGAUAUCUGGAAGAACACCAGUGGCGAAGGCGGCCUUCUGGACUGACACUGACGCUGAGGCGCGAAAGCUGGGGGAGCAAACAGGAUUAGAUACCCUGGUAGUCCCAGCCGUAAACGAUGGGUACUAGGUGCUGGGCGUUUCGACACGUUCAGCGCCGCAGCUAACGCACUAAGUACCCCGCCUGGGGAGUACGGCCGCAAGGCUGAAACUCAAAUGAAUUGACGG